rnacentral:other from 1 species
UGUUCCCUGGCAUGUGCGCCAGCAGGGUUAAGUCCCUGAGCCGAUUCUCUUCCCCCUGGGGGCGAAUAUGAUUGUCCAGUGUGCAUGUCCGCUACGGCGGAAAGCCUGACGGCCAAUCUGACGUCUCCACCUUGAACCCUUUGGUUCAAGGGCGAUACCCAGCAGCGGCAUGAUCGGGGAACUC